GCCGGGCGUGGUGGCGCACACCUGCAUUCCCAGCAACUCGGGAGGCUGAGGCAGGAGGGUCACAAAUUCAAAGCCAGCUUGAGCAACUUAGCAAGGCCUUAAGCAACUUAGCGAGACCCUGUCUCUA
rnacentral:sRNA from 1 species